CUUAGCCAGGCUGGUCUUGUCCUGAAGACGGAAUAUACCUGGGUAUGCAGCCUGGCCACCUCAGGAACUCGCUUUCAAACAGGUGAGCACGGCUGGAACUUCACGCCGGUCGGCGAGCGCGUAUGAAUUUGUAUUAAUAACAUAUAUAAAUGUAAACCUGGAAGAGAGAGUUCGGUAUUGCUGACGCGGCUACAGAACUGGGAGGGAUUUCAUCAGUUUCAGCACCGAGAUAAAGACGGCAGCAGUACACGUUCACACACACAUUACAGUACAGGCUCACCGUGGGGUCUGGGUUACAUUACCUCCGCCGCACCUCACGAUAAAGCCAGCUAGCUGCUCAGGAGUUAAUCGGGAGAGAAAAGAAAUAAGACAAUGGCAAAUCUUUCCUGCAACGCGGAGGACGCGAUUCGUGUGAAAGCGAGGGAUGUUAAGCUGAGGAGGGAGGACAUAGAAGAUUCUCAGCCUGAAGCUAAGAGAGUCAGAUUGGAGAGCAGCGAAGGAGGAAUCAGUGUUAACGAAACGGAGAUUCAGUGUGCUAAAAUGAAUGGGGGUCAGCCGUUACAGAUACCAGAGGAGACAAGACUACAGCCCGCUGGAGAUGCACAAACCGUUUUGAUGAGCUUACCCUUAAGCAAGAGUCAGAUUUUAAUUGGAGUGUCCUCCGGGUGCAGCAGACAGCCUGAAGACUCUGUGGAUGUGAGUUCAAGUUGUGCUUGUCUUUAUGCUUCUUGAGGUGAAGGUCCACUGACGUCAUCAUGACAC
ensembl:lincRNA